AUCCAGCUGAUGAGUUCCAAAUAGGAUGAAACACGCGUCCUGGAU
rfam:Schistosoma rodhaini strain Burundi genome assembly, scaffold: SROB_scaffold0004019